AGUGGACGCUGGCGGUAGGCCUAACACAUGCAAGUCGAACGGCAGCACAGUAAGAGCUUGCUCUUACGGGUGGCGAGUGGCGGACGGGUGAGGAAUACAUCGGAAUCUACUUUUUCGUGGGGGAUAACGUAGGGAAACUUACGCUAAUACCGCAUACGACCUACGGGUGAAAGCAGGGGAUCUUCGGACCUUGCGCGAUUGAAUGAGCCGAUGUCGGAUUAGCUAGUUGGCGGGGUAAAGGCGCACCAAGGCGACGAUCCGUAGCUGGUCUGAGAGGAUGAUCAGCCACACUGGAACUGAGACACGGUCCAGACUCCUACGGGAGGCAGCAGUGGGGAAUAUUGGACAAUGGGCGCAAGCCUGAUCCAGCCAUACCGCGUGGGUGAAGAAGGCCUUCGGGUUGUAAAGCCCUUUUGUUGGGAAAGAAAAGCAGCAGGUUAAUACCCCGCUGUUCUGACGGUACCCAAAGAAUAAGCACCGGCUAACUUCGUG
rnacentral:rRNA from 1 species